rnacentral:rRNA from 1 species
CCUACGGGAGGCAGCAGUGGGGAAUAUUGCACAAUGGGGGAAACCCUGAUGCAGCGACGCCGCGUGAGUGAAGAAGUAUUUCGGUAUGUAAAGCUCUAUCAGCAGGGAAGAAAAUGACGGUACCUGCUUAAGAAGCCCUUGCUAAAUACGUGCCAGCAGCCGCGGUCAUACGUAGGGGGCAAGCGUUUUCCGGAUUUUCUGGGUGUAAAGGGAGCGUAGACGGCAACACAAGUCUGGAGUGAAAUGCCGGGGCUUAACCCCGGAACUGCUUUGGAAACUGUGCAGCUGGAGGGCAGGAGAGGUAAGUGGAAGUCCUGGUGUAGCGGUGAACUGCGUAGAUAUUAGGAGGAACACCAGUGGCGAAGGCGGCUUACUGGACUGUAACUGACGUUGAGGCUCGAAAGCGUGGGGAGCAAACAGGAUUAGAUACCCCUGUAGUC